CCCUUAGAUGUCCUGGGCCGCACGCGCGCUACACUGAUGCAUGCAACGAGUAUAUAACCUUGGCCUGAAAGGCCUGGGUAAUCUUUUGAACGUGCAUCGUGAUAGGGAUAGAUUAUUGCAAUUAUUAAUCUUGAACGAGGAAUUCCUAGUAAACGCGAGUCAUCAGCUCGCAUUGAUUACGUCCCUGCCCUUUGUACACACCGCCCGUCGCACCUACCGAUUGGAUGGUCCGGUGAAGCCUCGGGAUUGUGGUUCUUGCCGCUUUAUUGUGGCGUGACCGCGAGAACUUGUCUAAACCUUAUCAUCUAGAGGAAGGUGAAGUCGUAACA
rnacentral:rRNA from 1 species